rnacentral:rRNA from 1 species
AAACCAGCACCUCAAGUGGUCAGGAGGAUUAUCGGGCCUAAAGCAUCCGUAGCCUGUUCUGUAAGUUUUCGGUUAAAUCCAUUAGCUCAACUAAUGGGCCGCCGAAAAUACUGUAGAACUAGGGAGUGGGAGAGGUAGACGGUAUUCGGUAGGAAGGGGUAAAAUCCUUUGAUCUAUUGAGGACCACCUGUGGCGAAGGCGGUCUACCAGAACACGUUCGACGGUGAGGGAUGAAAGCUGGGGGAGCAAACCGGAUUAGAAACCCUGGUAGUCC